rnacentral:rRNA from 1 species
UGGGGGAUAUUGCGCAAUGGGGGAAACCCUGACGCAGCAACGCCGCGUGAAGGAUGAAGGUCUUCGGAUUGUAAACUUCUGUUCUUGGUGAAGAAUUUCUGACGGUAACUAAGCAGCAAGCUCCGGCUAACUACGUGCCAGCAGCCGCGGUAAUACGUAGGGAGCUAGCGUUGUCCGGAUUUACUGGGUGUAAAGGGUGCGUAGGCGGCUCGACAAGUCAGGCGUGAAAUGUAUAGGCUUAACCUAUAAUCUGCGUUUGAAACUGUUGGGCUUGAGUGGAGUAGAGGCAGAUGGAAUUUCCAGUGUAGCGGUGAAAUGCGUAGAUAUUGGAAGGAACACCGGUGGCGAAGGCGAUCUGCUGGGCUCUUACUGACGCUGAGGCACGAAAGCGUGGGUAGCAAACAGG